GACGAACGCUGGCGGCGUGCUUAACACAUGCAAGUCGAACGAAGUGGCGAACGGGCGAGUAACGCGUAAUCAACCUGCCCUUCAGAGGGGGACAACAGUUGGAAACGACUGCUAAUACCGCAUACUGACGGUGGGGAUUUCGUCUGAUUAGCUAGUUGGAGGGGUAACGGCCCACCAAGGCGAUGAUGAGUAGCCUGGCUGAUAGGCGUAACGGCCACAUUGGGACUGAGACACGGCCCAGAAUCCCUAGGGAGGCAGCAGUGGGGAAGUUUCCGCAAUGGACUAAAGGUUGACGGAGCAACGCCGCGUGAGUGUUGACGGCCUUCGGGUUGUAAAGCUCUGUUAAUCGGUACGCGGUACCGGAAUAGAAAGCCACGGCUAACUACGUGCCAGCAGACGCGGUAAUAC
rnacentral:rRNA from 1 species